CAAUAGUUUCGUCUUACAAUUGGUCUGGGAUUUAUGUGUUGAUCAUGGUCAUGUAAAUACAUCAUUAAAUAAAGAGAGAGACGCUUGUUUUUGGUUGAGUCCAUUAUGUUUUAUUUAGGGGUGAAAUGUAAAACCUUUAUUUACAAUUUAUAUAACAUUUAAUGUUUUCGGUAAUUUUAAGAUUUGUGUUAAUUCUGGAAUUGUUUCAACAUAUUUUUUCGGGGAUUAAAUUGUGAUUAAAACAAUUAAAGUCAGAACUGCAAUGGAAAUAACUUAGUCCACACCUAUGUUGAUUUGAUCACGUGACAAUGUAAGCCAAUGAAAAAACAUCAACAAACAGGCAGCCAUUAAGGAAGAGAGAGGGUUUAUUUCAGAGCGAUAAUUUAAAUGUACUAGCAAGUUUAAACUGCAUUAUGUGCUUGUGAAGUUUAAAAGUUAAGUGUAGAUGUGUUUAUGGAGUUCAAGUAUUGGUAUUGGCACAACUAAGGCGUUGGGAGGCACAGAUAUAGCGAAGUGUUCAUGUUUGGCUUUGUGGAGUUGAAGAGUCGAUAUU